GGUAUUUAAUGACCCAAAAGAGUUAACAGCUGAGGAGAUGUAUGAAUUGCGAUUACGUUGGUCAACAUAUUUUUUGGAGUUAUUGGAGGGUUAAGAUUUAUCUGGGUGAUGAAUUGGUUAUUAGCUUUAGUUUGAGUCUUGGAAGCAGAUCAGGUGAUGGAAUUGGUAUUUUGGCUCGGAUGUGCAUCUCACUGUUUUGGACUGUUUAUUUUGGACUAUUUUAGGAUGGUUUUAUGAAGGAAUUGGUAUUAGAAUUGGUAUUUUUGUGAUGGAAUUGGUAUUUUAUGAAGGAUUGGUAUUUUAGAAUUGGUAUUUUAGGAAUUGGUAUUUUAGGAUUGGUAUUUUAGGAAUUGGUAUUUUAGGACUGUUUAUCAGGUGAUGGAAUUGGUAUUUUAGGAUGUGCAUACUGUUCUAGAGUUUUGAUUUUU